rnacentral:rRNA from 1 species
GACGAACGCUGGCGGCGUGCCUAACACAUGCAAGUCGAACGGGGUAAAGACUUCGGUUUUUACUUAGUGGCGAACGGGUGAGUAACGCGUGAGAAACCUGCCUUUCAGUGGGGGACAACAGUUGGAAACGACUGCUAAUACCGCAUAAUGUUAUUUGGGGGCAUCCUUGAAUAACCAAAGAUUUAUUUGCUGAAAGAUGGUCUCGCGUCUGAUUAGCUAGUUGGUGAGGUAACGGCUCACCAAGGCGACGAUCAGUAGCCGGUCUGAGAGGAUGAACGGCCACAUUGGGACUGAGAUACGGCCCAGACUCCUACGGGAGGCAGCAGUGGGGGAAGUAUUUGGGGCGAAUGGGGGAAACCCGUGACCCAGCAACGCCGCGUGAAGGAAGAAGGCCUC